GGGGCUGAAUUGAUUUCGACGAUUGGACCUUAACAGAUCAUCUUGCGAGUCGAUUUACCGGGCGCAACCGGUUCAUUUAAUUGCAAACUUUGUUGCAAAAGCAAAAGCAUUUGUAGCGAGCGUUUUCACGCCCCGCGCACUCGCUUUUGCGCCAAUCGCAGCCUAAUUAAGCUGUGAUCGCAUCCGUUCUGAUGUCCGGUAGGAACGUGAUGUGUCAUAUUAUCGGGCUAGGAUGUUACUGAGCUGUAAGCGGUGACAUUCGAAAACUUACUUGCGGCGUGCGAAUCGCUCUGUUUGUCUCUUCUUGAGGCGAGGAGUACGUAAACUAUGCGGAAGAGACUACGCUUGUAGACAGAUGAUCAGUUACCAUUCGGACCCGGGUGCGAUACCCGGCAGCUCCACCA
rnacentral:tmRNA from 1 species